rnacentral:lncRNA from 1 species
CAAAGAGACAGGGAGGGCAAGCAAGCAAAUUCUUGGUUAAGGAGGGGCAAUUUUUGAGAUAUAUCAGGUUUAAAAUAAAAAUUAAAAAGGCCCCAAGAAUCACAUGUAAAACUAACACAUAAAGUCAGACUUGAAUGAAUUUCCAGGCAUCAAUUUUCAAAAGCAAAACAUAUUGAGAGAGAACAUUACAAAAAUGGUAAAAAGAUGAAGAGAAAGAAAACAAGUGAUUUCACAAGUUUGGGAUUUGUGUUUGACUUGUUUUCUUGAACAAAGAGAUGGAAUAAAGGGGAUGAUGUCAUUAGAUGCAGUUGUGAUAAUUGGCUUUUGUACCCACAAACUAUGUAUAGUUUUCUAACCAUAGAGCUGUUAGAAAUGCUGUGUUUAUCUUUGCUAUUUGAUCCAUAUUCUGCUAGUUAUAUUUAUGGUGAUCAGAACAGCACCAUGUAUCUUUCAGUGGGUAGCAUUUACUAAGAGCUGUUUCAACCAUCCAGCUGUCCUGGGUCCUGAGAAAUAGUUGCCGAGGAAAGCAUGGG